GAUUUGUAGGAUGAUAGAAAUUAGAAAAAUACUACGUUAUGUUGGGAGAGAAUAUAUUUGAAAGUUGUUGAACGCACCUUGACUAAAAACCAUGUUAUCUUCUUCGUCGAUGUCAUCUUCAAAUAUGACUCCUUCACCUAUGUAGAAAAGUGUGAAUGUAUAUGUUGGUUACUUUUUGUAUUUCUUGACAAUAUAAAUGCUCUCGAUAACGUUGCCAUUUUCAUCAUCAUUGAUUAAUGAGUGGGUUGGUGCCUUUUCAUCUUUGUUAGUUGGAGCCAU
rnacentral:lncRNA from 1 species